rnacentral:rRNA from 1 species
GACGAACGCUGGCGGCGUGCUUAACACAUGCAAGUCGAGCGGAGCGGCGAACGGGUGAGUAACGCGUGAGUAACUGCCCCCCUCUCUGGGAUAACAGUUGGAAACGGCUGCUAAUACCGGAUAGUGGGGGAUGACUCGCGUCCUAUCAGCUUGUCGGUGGGGUAGUGGCCUACCAAGGCGACGACGGGUGGCCGGCCUGAGAGGGAGGUGGGCCACGUGGGGGUGACAUACGGCCCAGACACCUACGGGAGGCAGCAGUGGGAGAUAUGGCGCAAGGGGCGCAAACCUGAUGCGGGGACGCCGCGUGGGGGAUGAAGUCGUUCGGGUUGUAAGCCUCUUACGGUACAGAACGGGUAUGUGCAGAAGAAGCGCCGGCUAACUACGUGCCAGCAGCCGCGGUAAUUC